AAAUUCAAAAUGUGGCCACCGACUCCCCGUCCGCGGCGAUAAAAGGUGCGCAGGCGCCGUUGCAGCCAUCAAUCGCCGCUGAAAACCCGAGGGCGCAAAGCCUCGGCGUGAGCGAGACAGCCAGUAGUGCCAGAGCAUUGUAUGGCAGACAAAGGAGUACCAUUGAGUGGGCAUGGGGGCAGCACGAGUGCGUGUCUGCCCCCGAGGGCUGAGGCGGGCGUGUGUGUGGGCGCCGAGGAGAAAGUGUCGGCCGCCCCCCACUUCGACCGUUGGGCGAGGCUGGGCGUGACCUGGCCCAGUUGACUCGCACGGGCGCAUCUGUGGACCAAAUCCGGGGUUGGCACCAGCCCGGGUGCCCCCCUCCGCCCCCCCAGCCAGGGAGUCCUGGACGCUGGGCUUAGUUCGGCGGGAUCCUGCAGUGAUGUCAGCGAAUGCGACGGACGGGAUGUGUCCCGACUGUCUCAGGAUAUCGCGGAGGCCUCCUUCUGGGCGUGGUCGUCCUCCUCCUCAGGGUACCAGAGUGGCGUGGGCACUUCGGAAGUUAGUACGGGUGACCCGCCUGCAUCGGACGACCCCUUGACCGCUGAUGAAUGGGACACGAAAAUGACGAUGACAGCGACUGGGGCGGGGAUGAGUGGCCGCUGGAAUCGCGCUCUACCCCUCCCGGAGUGGGGCUGCGCAGGGGCCGGAACUCAACUUCGAGAACCUGGAUAACUACGAAAGGUUCCUGGGAAAAGUGAGCCUCCAUCUCCGCCAUGUCCUUUCGGCGCACAGCUAUGAUACCGUCUCCAACUUCAUCCUGUUCAGCAAGGAAUACGUCUUGGCACAAGAAGAGUACCCAGACCUUGACGAAUUCUACAGGGACUAUGAUCCUCCAAUCUUACCCGGGCGCUACACGUGUGUAGGCCUGGCUUGUGAUCUCACGACUAGACUCUCUGCCUUGGUCCACUAUCCGGGUUAAGGAUUUCGCCCCUACC